rnacentral:tRNA from 1 species
GGGACAGUGGUGCAACGGCAGACGCAGACGGCUCAAACCCGUCCGACUAAGAGUUCGAAUCUCUUCUGUCCCACCA